ACCUCAUGUCAGGUAAGAGGACCCCCUGAAUUUAAGCAUAUAAGUAAGGGGAGGAAAAGAAACUAACGAGGAUUCCCUCAGUAACGGCGAGUGAAGCGGGAAGAGCCCAAGAUGCGAUGCCAUGUGCUGGUUGGUGCAUGGCUGUGAAGCGUUUGGAGGGCAGUGCCAGUUGUCAGGCCCGGUUCGAGUCCCUUGGAAGAGGGCAUCCAGAGAGGGUGAGAGUCCCAUGUAUGGCUGGGUGGUUUGGUUGGCAGCGCACGGCGUGUCUUCUUGGAGUCGAGUUGCUUGGGACUGCAGCUCCAAGUUGGUGGUAAACUCCAUCAAAGGCUAAAUAGUGGCGAGAGACCGAUAGCGAACAAGUAGCGUGAGCGAAAGAUGAAAAGAACUUUGAAAAGAGAGUUAAAGAGUACCUGAAAUUGCUGAAAGG
rnacentral:rRNA from 16 species